rnacentral:rRNA from 1 species
GACGAACGCUGGCGGCGUGCCUAACACAUGCAAGUCGAGCGGAGUCGAUCGACGGAAGCCUUCGGGCGGAAGAUGGUUGACUUAGCGGCGGAUGGGUGAGUAACGCGUGGGCAACCUGCCUCGAAGACCGGGAUAACAGCCCGAAAGGGCUGCUAAUACCGGAUGUGGUCAAGGAUCCGCAUGGAUUUUUGAUUAAAGGGGAAACCCGUUUCGAGAUGGGCCCGCGUCCUAUCAGCUAGUUGGUGAGGUAAGAGCUCACCAAGGCGAUGAUAGAUAGGCGGCCUUAACGGGUGGUCGCCCACACUGGGAUUGAGAUACGGCCCAGACUCCUACGGGAGGCAGCAGUCGAGAAUAGUCUACAAUGGCCGGAAGGCUGAUAGUGCGACGCCGCGUGAACGAGGGAGCCUUCGGGUGUAAAGUCUUUCUAUACGAGCAGUGCUAUAUAUAUGGAUAGUAUAUAUAGAGGGAUAGUAGUAUAGGAAUAAGCAACGGCUAACUCCGU